CAUCUGCUGGAAGGAGCUCUGGAGAUAAUGCUUUCAUGAACUUUAGAUAAAAGCUACAGCACAUUGCUGCAAACUGCUUUAGCAUCGCGCAUGUCACAUCAAACAAACAGCCAUAUCUCUACCUCUGUUCCUCAUUAACGCAUGUAAUAGACAGGUAUUACAAUAUUUGAAAGAAACAGGAUUAAGCAAUAGAAUUUAAAGCACUGACAUUUUGAAUCUCCCUUUUGUUUUGUUUUAUCGAUUUUGUUUUGUGGUUAUUUUGUUGGGUUUGGUUUUGUAAGGGGAUCGGUUACUCUUAGGCCGCAAGGUGAACAUCGAAAAGUCCUUUAGAAAAUGAAUCCCGCUCCACAGUCGCGCAUCUACACAAUAUUUAGUUCAUAAAAAAGAAAGAGUCGUGCUUAGCUAGCAAAAAAAAGUAUUUCGCUGAAUUUGCCGUUGAUUCUCGAUGCGACUAUGUUUUAUGCUGAACUAGUUUCUUCAGAGCGUAAUAUGAUCUUGGUCACGAGGGGUGGCACGGUUCGACACGUGAUCGGUCUACACCAAUGAGGUAGCUGCUUUUUGUCAACAGAAUGGCAAGAUGGCGUCCUCGAGCAGUACGGAAGACGAAGAAAAUACACCGGAAUAUAUUAAUAAAUCAAAAAACAAACUUUGUUUUAUGCAUAUUACUUCAGUCAAGCACGAGGAGGUACAUUAUUUCACCACUACACGAUGGAAUACAUACAGGACAAGCCUACAAACGUGGCUCGGGUUGGACGGUGAGUCUCGAGACGUGGCUGAGAACUUCAAACACUGUGUUGAUGUGGAGUUUGACAAUAUUCCCGAGGAUGCUGGCUUCCAUCACACGUGCUACCGUAGAUUUACGGACAAAAAAUCCAUGGCAAAGGUGGAAAGACGUCUCGCACGUGAGAGACAAGAAGCGACGGAAGACCACGAGGCCAUUCCAUCGACUUCUAGCGGCACGAGUCCAACAAAGAAACUGCGAUCCAGGUCAGGGCUGCCAAUCGCAGGCUCUGGCCCGUUCUUCCUGCCCUGUGCAUAAUUUGCCAAAAAAAGGAGAAGUUCAUCAACCGAGCAGGCAAACGACAAAGGGAUACUCUGUCAAAGGCUGAAACAUUAACAGCAGGCCAAUUGCAGAAAGCUGCCGAGUUGAAGGAGGACCAAAGUAUUCUUUUGCAUAUACAAGACAAAGACUGUGUGGCUCUGGAGGUGCAGGACCACAAAGGCUGUUAUAAUCAGUACACCAGGUUUUUGAUGAGGCCUGAAAACCCAGAGAAAGAACAGAAUGAGCCCACGUUUGAUGUCAGCGAUAAGAUAUUCUGUGAAAGGAUCAUUCGCCAAAGGCUGCUUGUCAACCAAGAGGUGCUGAGAAUGGGCCAGCUGAGGAAGGCCUUCAUUGAACUGGUGAAAGCAAAUGAAGGUCUUGAUGUGUGACUGUUAAGGAGGGUGUACAGUCUGUUCGUGUUGUUGAAGACCUGCAGUGUGAUCAUGAAGAAUGUGACACAAGGGUGUUUUUACAUGCACAACAUGCUGCACGGGAGCAUAAAGCUGUCAUCAUCAAGAGCUCUGACACUGAUGUGGCAGUCAUUGCUGUAAGUGUGCAGACAGAUUUCCCAUGCAGUUUAUAUGUUUUCACAGGGACUGGCAACAGGACACGUAUCAUUGACAUUACCAAGGUGUCAUCAGCUCUCGGAACCAGUGUGUGUUCAGCCUUGAUCGGAAUUCACACAUUCUCUGGGUGUGACUCCACAAGUGCCUUUUAUGGCAAAGGGAAAAAAAGACUUUCUGUUGCAUGUGAGAAAGGUGAGUACCUAAAGGCUUUUAAAAGUUUAGGUGCUCACUUUAACAUGGAGCAGUCAACAUUUGCACUUCUUUGCCAGUAUGUGUGCCACUUAUAUGAUCAGCCAGCUGCCGAUAAUGUCAAUGAAGCUAGGUACAAGGCUUUCUGUAUGGCAUCAUCAGCCUUGCCAGAAAUAUGCAUUCCCCCAACUACUGAUGCCCUCCAACAGCACUGCAAAAGGGCAAACUACCAGGCUGCAAUAAUGUCGCAAACAAAAAAUAAGUGCUCCAUCACCUGCUGGAUAUGGUUGGCAAAUAGAGGAUGGGACCUUGCACAUCACCUGGAUGACCAGAAAUCCGGCCCCUGACAGUGUUUUGCAUGUCAUACACUGCGGCUGUAAAGGUGCCUGUGAGACAGGAAGAUGUUCCUGUUUUUCUGCAGGAUUGUGUUGCACAGACUUAUGUCGUUGCUGUAAUUGUGCCAACACCAAAGACACCGAGCAACUGGAAGACAACUGUCCUGACACUGACAGUGAGGACUGAGCGUCCUUAAUAUGUUAUUUCUUUUGUAGUUUUGUACAGUUUUAUGUUUCAGUCAUAUUUUUCAUAAAGAUUGUUUCUAUUGUU